rnacentral:rRNA from 1 species
ACGCACGCUGGCGGCGUGCUUAACACAUGCAAGUCGAACGGAAAGGCCCUGCUUUUGUGGGGUGCUCGAGUGGCGAACGGGUGAGUAACACGUGAGUAACCUGCCCUUGACUUUGGGAUAACUUCAGGAAACUGGGGCUAAUACCGGAUAGGAGCUCCUGCUGCAUGGUGGGGGUUGGAAAGUUUCGGCGGUUGGGGAUGGACUCGCGGCUUAUCAGCUUGUUGGUGGGGUAGUGGCUUACCAAGGCUUUGACGGGUAGCCGGCCUGAGAGGGUGACCGGCCACAUUGGGACUGAGAUACGGCCCAGACUCCUACGGGAGGCAGCAGUGGGGAAUAUUGCACAAUGGGCGGAAGCCUGAUGCAGCAACGCCGCGUGCGGGAUGACGGCCUUCGGGUUGUAAACCGCUUUCGCCUGUGACGGAGCGUGAGUGACGGUAAUGGGUAAAGAAGCACCGGCUAACUACGUG